UUUCUUAUAUUUAAGUUUAUCAGUAUGUUACAUUUCAAUAAAAAUUAUUAUUAGUACUUAUAUGGGAGUCGUUAUUUUCUUACAAGUUUUGAAACAAGUCAAUUUUCUCAGAUUUUAUAUUUAGUGACUUAACCUGAUUGGCUUCUGAGCCCUCCAUAUAUAUUGAUAUUUUUA
rnacentral:lncRNA from 1 species